rnacentral:rRNA from 1 species
GUGGGGAAUUUUGGACAAUGGGCGCAAGCCUGAUCCAGCAAUGCCGCGUGCAGGAAGAAGGCCUUCGGGUUGUAAACUGCUUUUGUACGGAACGAAACGGUCCGGGUUAAUACCCUGGGCUAAUGACGGUACCGUAAGAAUAAGCACCGGCUAACUACGUGCCAGCAGCCGCGGUAAUACGUAGGGUGCAAGCGUUAAUCGGAAUUACUGGGCGUAAAGCGUGCGCAGACGGUUUUGUAAGACAGGCGUGAAAUCCCCGGGCUCAACCUGGGAAUUGCGCUUGUGACUGCAAGGCUGGAGUGCGGCAGAGGGGGAUGGAAUUCCGCGUGUAGCAGUGAAAUGCGUAGAUAUGCGGAGGAACACCGAUGGCGAAGGCAAUCCCCUGGGCCUGCACUGACGCUCAUGCACGAAAGCGUGGGGAGCAAACAGGAUUAGAAACCCCGGUAGUCC